rnacentral:rRNA from 1 species
CAGCAGUAGCCGCGGUAAUACGUAGGUGGCAAGCGUUGUCCGGAAUUAUUGGGCGUAAAGGGCUCGCAGGCGGUUUCUUAAGUCUGAUGUGAAAGCCCCCGGCUCAACCGGGGAGGGUCAUUGGAAACUGGGAAACUUGAGUGCAGAAGAGGAGAGUGGAAUUCCACGUGUAGCGGUGAAAUGCGUAGAGAUGUGGAGGAACACCAGUGGCGAAGGCGACUCUCUGGUCUGUAACUGACGCUGAGGAGCGAAAGCGUGGGGAGCGAACAGGAUUAGAUACCCGAGUAGUCCCUGUCUCUUAUAC